GACGAACGCUGGCGGCGUGCUUAACACAUGCAAGUCGAACGGAAAGGCCCUGCUUGCAGGGUGCUCGAGUGGCGAACGGGUGAGUAACACGUGGGUGAUCUGCCCCUUAUUUUGGGAUAAGCCUGGGAAACUGGGUCUAAUACUGGAUAGGACCAUGCUGUAGGUGGUGUGGUGGAAAGAUUAGUUUCGGUAAGGGAUGAGCUCGCGGCCUAUCAGCUUGUUGGUGGGGUAAUGGCCUACCAAGGCGUCGACGGGUAGCCGGCCUGAGAGGGUGGACGGCCACAUUGGGACUGAGAUACGGACCAGACUCCUACGGGAGGCAGCAGUGGGGAAUAUUGCACAAUGGGCGCAAGCCUGAUGCAGCGACGCCGCGUGGGGGAUGACGGCCUUCGGGUUGUAAACUCCUUUCAGCCAUGACGAAGCCCUUGUGGUGACGGUAGUGGUAGAAGAAGCACCGGCUAACUACGUG
rnacentral:rRNA from 1 species